AGUUGAAAUCUUAUUAAUAUCGGUCAAUGCAAAAAUUAGUAUCAAACGUCGUCUUGAAUCUUGCUUUUGCUUUCAGAUCCAUGACAAAUUGACAUUUUCUUGUGGUCAAUAUUAAUCUGUAGUAUUUGUAAUCUAUUCUUAACGUGUGAAUUGACUAUAGUUUCGUAGUAGUAUAGACGUGUGUUAUUUUCUGAAUUUGUAUCACUUCUGAGUGUAUUAAAACGUGAGACGUGAGCUGUUUGUGUGUGUUUUCAAACAAAGAUUCUGUGUGACCUAGGAAGUCUCAUUAAAAUGCAUUCGUUCGUCAAAUGGAUUUUCGGCAUUACAAUAAUUGUAGCCGCGCUCGUUUCAUCGAACGUUUCGGCCCAAGGACUAUCGCGCUCAAACUUGCAAUGCUACGAUUGUACGUCAAAGGGAUGCACGGACACCAAAUAUUGCGGACCUAACCAAUACUGUUUGAAAGCAACGAUCACGCACAGUAACGGAGCCACCUCUUACAAUAAACAGUGUGUGCCAAAUAUUCUGGAUUGUAAAAAAUACCAGAAAGAUAUGGCAGACAAGAACAUCGUAGUUUCCGACUGCAAAACGUGUAACUACAAUUUUUGCAACAUGAGCAGUUUAACGAAUCCGUCCGUGUUUGCUCUUAUUUCACUCGCUAUGAUCAGUAUUUGUUUUCAGAUAUUGUUUUAAGGUAAAAUUAAUUUAACUGUAUAA